GUAGACAUGGCACACGCUCGGAAUAACCCAGCGUCUAAGGUGGGUGUAGACAUGGCACACGCUCGGAAUAACCCAGCGUCUAAGGUGGGUGUAGACAUGGCACACGCUCGGAAUAACCCAGCGUCUAAGGUGGGUGUAGACAUGGCACACGCUCGGAAUAACCCAGCGUCUAAGGUGGGUGUAGACAUGGCACACGCUCGGAAUAACCCAGCGUCUAAGGUGAGAAAUACUAGCAUUUCCAUUUUUAUCUCAUUCCUUAGAAAAAAUACUCUCAUGUGUUUUGUGAUGUACACAUUACAUAGCUACAUAUGUAUCAGUUAUGAAUAAAUAUGCAUGUAUUGUGGUGUGCUCAAACAUUUUUUAAUGAUGUAUACCAUCAAAAAAUUUGGAGACUAAUUUGGAGAAUGCUUUAAACAAUGUGUAAGCACUUUUAUUGUAAGAGAGCAGAGGGAAACUGAAUCACAGAACCUCCAUUUUAAGCUGUAAGCUGACAUUUCUCUCCCCAUACUGUGACAGGCAAAGCACUGGCAUGUGUCAAAGGCCGGGGCAGUCCGAUUCUGCUGCCCCAAACUUUGGAUCUAGAGGGAGGGACAGUCCUGGAGAUACACGGAUCAUUCAGUGAUGGGAAGAGCCCAGGAAAGGCUGUGCCUAGGGCUGUGCCCAACACUUCUUCCGGGGCUUUCUCAUGACAUCCGUGAGCCACGCCAUACCCUCCCCGUGAACGCCUUUCCUGCUUAUGUUGGCAGAGUCUAUUUCUAUUCUUUGCAACUAGCGCAGUACUUUACUGAUGCAGGAACUAGUGUUAGUUGUAGGCAACAGAUACUCAGGAAAAUCGGUGGGAUGAAAGGCAGGAAUGGUCAUCUGACUUCACUAAGGAUGAGGGUCGUGAAAAUCCCAUGAGUGCUGAGAGUAGUCCAGGGCAGCCUGUGACAGUUAACAGAAAAUCAGGUAAUUUUCUUACUGAAAAGUGGCCAUGGAAUGGCACGCCCAUGGAAGGCUUGGGAGACCAAGUUGCAACCACAGAACCAUAAAAAGGACCCGAGUGAAGUAGCUGCUUCUCUGGACAAUUUGAAGAUAAUGACACAUUGUCAGGUCAAGUCAUGAAAACAAUGCAAGCUUUUACACAAUUACUCCACAGCCUCAUCAGGUCUCUUCUAUGAAAAUUGGGACACUGACCAAGAAAGAGUGGGGCCUUCAGAAACAUGAGUUCAUGGGAGGACUCGGCGGACAGGGAGAGCCCUGUCUACUGCCCUCAUUGUGGCUUCCCGGUCAGCUACCGCAGUCCCUACGGGAUGCAGCCGUUCCUCCCUUAUUUUAACAGGUUGUAACCCAGUUGUCUGGAAGUCACCUUGCAAGAUGAAGCCACUUCUUGUGCCUUCUCACACAUCCCUUUUUGCCUUUAAAUCCACUUAAUUAGGAGCCUGCCAUUCCACGAGCUGGGGGAAAUCAUUAAACCAGUAUCAAGUCCAGAAAGAGAGUUCUUAGAGAAUUGUGGGACUGGAGGCAUUUGAUAAGAGUAAAGGUUAUAAUCUAGAAUGAGGAUACCUGUCAUCAAUCUUUACCAACCAGAUAAUAGAACUGUAAGGUACAUGACUGAAAAAGAAACUGAAAACCUAAAACAGAAAAAAUGAGACUGCGGUUGUACUGGCCUGUAUUUCCAUCCAGUUCAUCUGCCCACUAUGAGUGUGACCCCAGGCAAAUGUCUGCAGCUUUCUGAGUGGCGUUCCUUAUCUGUAAAAUACAGGUGUGUAUUUUCUGCUUUGCAAGGUGGUCCUGGGGGUGACUGUGGGACCACAGAGCACUCGACCCUCCACACCACACCCCAGGCCCCUCUCACCACCCCUGCUUCCAAGUCUUUGAUGAGACUCCACAGUAAAGACUAAAAAGAAAAGAAAAAGUAAAUCACUCUUCAGACUGAAGGAAAGCUAGGCUAGAGAGGUGGCGAGGAGGAAGUGAGCAGGAGGAGACGGACGACGCUCCACUUGUCACUUAGUUCUCUGAUUCUACUGUGAAGUCCACACAGAACAACUGUGGAUGACUUCAAGAUGCUGUAAAAGAAAAGCUGCAGAAUCACUAUAACUAGCUACAGCAGUAACAAAUGUGCUUGGUUCUGAAGUGUCAGUGUUUGUAAGUAGCAUCGUUCCUCCAAUAACAGCUUUUCAAAGGGAAAGGAAAGCAAAGGAGAAAAUAUUAGAACAGCCACAAAACGGUUUCAGUAAGUGAUAAAACCUCAGUUCUCAGAUCCAUAGCCCACAGGUGACUCUCCAUCUCCUCACGCUCAGACAUGAUAGAUUCUCCUACAUCACUCUGGUCCUCUACAGCCACUCACAACAUCAGGGCCGCCCUGCUGUUCUUAAUCCAGGCUCAUGAACUUGACUUCUGUAGCACUUUUAGAAGUAACAGCAGAACACCAUAUCCAAGAAUAAUGAGGUUUUGUCUGAAGUUCCUAUUUGAUUAUAGUUAACCUUGGAAAAAAAAGUUUCCGAAUUAAAGAACACAGAAUUGGAAAUUGAAUAACUUCUCUUGAAAAGCUAAGUUUAUUGCCUAAUAUUCCUUCAAGACAUAUGGCUCAAUCACCAAGUUUUGAAAUUUUGUCUAUUUGUUAGUUUUAGGAACUUCUAUUUUCUACAAUGCAACAGGUAAUUUGCAUACACACUACUUUUGCUUCAGUGAUAUUUGCAGCAAUAAUUUUUACCUAAACAAUAUUCAAAAACCAAGAAAACAAAAAAUACUCCAAAAAGGUCUUUGUAUUAUUUCUUCUUUCAAACCACAAUCCAAAGGGAUGCUUUUCAAACUGAAGUUUGCCAUCUAUUAGGAGGCCACAAGAUAACUUAGUGUCUGUCUAGUAUUUUUAAAAAUAACUAAAACAGAAGGUGCCAGCAUGCACACUUAGGAAAAAUGGGUACUGUCUUGUUAAUUUUUGCUUAUAUGUAUCUGAGAGAGAGAGAGAGAGAGUGUAUGUGUGUGAUGGGUUAUCUCUUACUGUGGUCAAAGAGUUGAAAGCCACUGACGAGUAGGUCUCUGUCUGCCAGUAAAUUAACCAGACGCUAACAGCAUUUAUUCUUCCAAGAACUCUGGGAUAACUGUCCAGACCACAAGUAGGUGCUGUUCAGUCCUUUUAUGGAAAAAAUUAGAGAAAUCAAACAAGUCUCAAUAAUUCAAGUAAUUAAAUAAAAUACAUGCUAUCAAUUAUUGAUGCUACAUUUUGGGUUAUAAGAAAUUGAUCUACCAAUACUGCACAACAGGGAAAGAAAAUAUCCAUUUCUUCCUUAAUUCAGCAUUCAUCAGAAUUAUUACUGCCCUGUAUAAAACUGAAAUGGAAUUAGCCUACAAAUUCCCUUAAGUUUGAGCCAUGAUGGUAUUUAAGAUGGAAAAAACAAAAGUAUAAGCCCCACAUAUAAAUGCUUAUAAACCCAGUAUGAAAUCACUUUUUGUAAAACUUUAAUUUCUAAGACAUUUUAAAGUCACACUAAAAGUAUCUCAUCGAAACAAAAGAGUAACAAUGUGUAAACAAAACAAUCUGUAAACAAAAAUGUUUACUAGUUUACUAGUGUGUCCAAACGUUACUUUUAAAAGUUAACAUUAUACCAGUUUUUUCAAGUUUAAAAAGUAGGUGCCGCAUCUAUGUUCACAUU